GAAAUUUAUGAGGGGAAACAAAUGAAAUAGAUCUUUAUGUUGGUCAACUCUAGCUACUACUAUAUCUUGUGAACAAUUACAACAGGGUAACUACAAACAUGUUCGACACUGAAAAGGUCAAAGAAUUAAAAGAAGAGGGGAGAGAAUAUAAGAGGAAAUAGGAUAGCGUUCCCCCAACCCAAUCAGGAAAAAACAAACAAGAAUAGGAAAACUAACUGCUGCUCCUACCCUGUAUUUGUGACUUGUGGUUUUCACCGUAUCUUCACAAUCGGAAGGGAUGAUCAACACAAAGAAGUUAAAAAUGUCCAAAACUUUGUGACGAUCAUAAAAAGCAUAGAUUUUACAUCCCUUUCACACUCCUAUCUAGUGCUGGAGUUCCCAAGUGUAAGCUCAAGAUCAUCACUGAUGCACUCUUCAUGAAUUCUUUCUCCUUCCCAUGGCUUGACUACACCUUUCAUAUUGCUGCCAAAUGCAAACUCUGCUGAGAUAGCAUCCGACAUUGGUACAUCAGCUGUUUGGUCCAUACAAGGUCCAACUGCAGGUGAACACGUCCCACUUUGCCCAGGUGUCCACAUUCGAGACCCUCCAUUUGAUAAUGGCUCCUUAAAUCCAAAUGGAUUUGACGAGACAAGGCUGAAAGUGGGAGAUGAAGGCCCAUCCUGUGGAGUUUGAACACCAGAGAGCCAUCCUGAAUCCGGUGGGGUUUGGCGACCUGGACUAGGAGGGGUUGAGGAUGGCAAGAAGGGAUAAUGCUGUUGUAUCCAUGUAGAGUUGGCCGUGGGAUUUUCCCAAUUAUCAUUCAUCCUGGGAGUACUGGCAGUGGGAGAGCUCAAAGGUGGAGUCACAGGAGCACUUAUAGAACCUCCAGGAAUGCACAGAUGAUGGGGAAAAUUAGACAAGGAUGGUGAUGAGCCAGAUGACAGGUUCUUAAGCCAAGGAAUAAGAGAGUUCGGAUCAGAAUUAUUUUGGACAUUGGCAACAUAAUGGGAUGAGACCGGGCUAGGGAUAGAUGAUGAAACCGGACUCGGAUUAUAUGAAGCACCAGGGCUGAGUUGGUAAGAUGAACUGCUUACAGAAACAGAACCACCGAUAUCAAUGCGUGUAACUGGCUUGCAUCCCUUUCUGUAAGUAGUUCCAUCUUCUUCAACAAUCCAACCAGCCUCUUUACACAGAGCUUUCAAUACCUCGUUAUUAUCACAGUGCUUCGGUAGCUUAUAGUUACCAUACAUCCUUAAUCCGGCGAAGAUCUUAGCGGCGAUCGCCCUCCGCCGCCGCUCUCUCCGCUUAUUAUUCUCUCUCUCCUUCCA
rnacentral:misc_RNA from 1 species